UACGUAGGGUGCGAGCGUUGUCCGGAAUUAUUGGGCGUAAAGAGCUCGUAGGCGGUCUGUCGCGUCGGAUGUGAAACCCGGGGCUUAACCCUGGGCCUGCAUUCGAUACGGGCAGACUAGAGUUCGGUAGGGGAGACUGGAAUUCCUGGUGUAGCGGUGAAAUGCGCAGAUAUCAGGAGGAAUACCGGUGGCGAAGGCGGCAUCCUGGACCGGCAUUGACGCUGAACAGCGAAAGCUAGGGGAGCAAACGGG
rnacentral:rRNA from 1 species